AUGCAUUGGGCAUUUGUGCAACAAUUCCUCAAAACGUUCCCAAGCGUCAUACAAACUUUCAUCCUCUAAUUGCUUGAAAGAUGUCAAGUAAUUUUGCAGCUU